AGAGUUUGAUCCUGGCUCAGGACGAACGCUGGCGGCGCGCCUAACACAUGCAAGUCGAACGAGCGAGAGAGAGCUUGCUUUCUCGAGCGAGUGGCGAACGGGUGAGUAACGCGUGAGGAACCUGCCUCAAAGAGGGGGACAACAGUUGGAAACGACUGCUAAUACCGCAUAAGCCCACGGGUCGGCAUCGACCAGAGGGAAAAGGAGCAAUCCGCUUUGAGAUGGCCUCGCGUCCGAUUAGCUAGUUGGUGAGGUAACGGCCCACCAAGGCGACGAUCGGUAGCCGGACUGAGAGGUUGAACGGCCACAUUGGGACUGAGACACGGCCCAGACUCCUACGGGAGGCAGCAGUGGGGAAUAUUGCACAAUGGGGGAAACCCUGAUGCAGCGACGCCGCGUGGAGGAAGAAGGUCUUCGGAUUGUAAACUCCUGUUGUUGAGGAAGAUAAUGACGGUACUCAACAAGGAAGUGACGGCUAACUACGUGCCAGCAGCCGCGGUAAAACGUAGGUCACAAGCGUUGUCCGGAAUUACUGGGUGUAAAGGGAGCGCAGGCGGGAAGACAAGUUGGAAGUGAAAUCCAUGGGCUCAACCCAUGAACUGCUUUCAAAACUGUUUUUCUUGAGUAGUGCAGAGGUAGGCGGAAUUCCCGGUGUAGCGGUGGAAUGCGUAGAUAUCGGGAGGAACACCAGUGGCGAAGGCGGCCUACUGGGCACCAACUGACGCUGAGGCUCGAAAGUGUGGGUAGCAAACAGGAUUAGAUACCCUGGUAGUCCACACCGUAAACGAUGAUUACUAGGUGU
rnacentral:rRNA from 1 species